GAGUUGCGAACGGGUGAGUAACGCGUAGGUAACCUGCCUGGUAGCGGGGGAUAACUAUUGGAAACGAUAGCUAAUACCGCAUAAGAACAUUUACUGCAUGGUAGAUGUUUAAAAGGUGCAAGAGCAUCACUACCAGAUGGACCUGCGUUGUAUUAGCUAGUUGGUGAGGUAACGGCUCACCAAGGCAACGAUACAUAGCCGACCUGAGAGGGUGAUCGGCCACACUGGGACUGAGACACGGCCCAGACUCCUACGGGAGGCAGCAGUAGGGAAUCUUCGGCAAUGGGGGGAACCCUGACCGAGCAACGCCGCGUGAGUGAAGAAGGUUUUCGGAUCGUAAAGCUCUGUUGUUAAGGAAGAACGUGUGUGAGAGUGGAAAGUUCACACAGUGACGGUACUUAACCAGAAAGGGACGGCUAACUACGUGCCAGCAGCCGCGGUAAUACGUAGGUCCCGAGCGUUGUCCGGAUUUAUUGGGCGUAAAGCGAGCGCAGGCGGUUAGAUAAGUCUGAAGUGAAAGGCAGUGGCUCAACCAUUGUAGGCUUUGGAAACUGUUUAACUUGAGUGCAGAAGGGGAGAGUGGAAUUCCAUGUGUAGCGGUGAAAUGCGUAGAUAUAUGGAGGAACACCGGUGGCGAAAGCGGCUCUCUGGUCUGUAACUGACGCUGAGGCUCGAAAGCGUGGGGAGCGAACAGGAUUAGAUACCCUGGUAGUCCACGCCGUAAACGAUGAGUGCUAGGUGUUAGGUCCUUUCCGGGACUUAGUGCCGCAGCUAACGCAUUAAGCACUCCGCCUGGGGAGUACGACCGCAAGGUUGAAACUCAAAGGAAUUGACGGGGGCCCGCACAAGCGGUGGAGCAUGUGGUUUAAUUCGAAGCAACGCGAAGAACCUUACCAGGUCUUGACAUCCCUCUGACCACUCUAGAGAUAGAGUUUCCCUUCGGGGCAGAGGUGACAGGUGGUGCAUGGUUGUCGUCAGCUCGUGUCGUGAGAUGUUGGGUUAAGUCCCGCAACGAGCGCAACCCUUAUUGUUAGUUGCCAUCAUUCAGUUGGGCACUCUAGCGAGACUGCCGGUAAUAAACCGGAGGAAGGUGGGGAUGACGUCAAAUCAUCAUGCCCCUUAUGACCUGGGCUACACACGUGCUACAAUGGCUGGUACAACGAGUCGCAAGCCGGUGACGGCAAGCUAAUCUCUGAAAGCCAGUCUCAGUUCGGAUUGUAGGCUGCAACUCGCCUACAUGAAGUCGGAAUC
rnacentral:rRNA from 1 species